rnacentral:rRNA from 1 species
UACGGGAGGCAGCAGUGGGGAAUAUUGCACAAUGGGCGAAAGCCUGAUGCAGCUAUGCCGCGUGUAUGAAGAAGGCCUUAGGGUUGUAAAGUACUUUCAUCGGGGAGGAAAAACAAAACUAAUAAUUUUAUUUCUUGACGUUACCCGAAAAAGAAGCACCGGCUAACUCCGUGCCAGCAGCCGCGGUAAUACGGAGGGUGCUAGCGUUAAUCAGAAUUACUGGGCGUAAAGAGCACGUAGGUGGUUUUUUAAGUCAGAUGUGAAAUCCCUGGGCUUAACCUAGGAACUGCAUUUUGAAACUGAAAUACUAGAGUAUCGUAGAGGGAGGUAGAAUUCUAGGUGUAGCGGUGAAAUGCGUAGAUAUCUGGAGGAAUACCUGUGGCGAAAGUGGCCUCCUAAACGAAUACUGACACUGAGGUGCGAAAGCGUGGGGAGCAAACAGGGAUUAGAUACC